UUUUAUGGUGGCUGUACGUGCGGGCACGCCCGCGUGCGCCGGAACUUGUCAAUUCCACCGGUCCGUCAACCCACGUACAGCCGCCACCCUC
rnacentral:antisense_RNA from 2 species